rnacentral:lncRNA from 1 species
UUGGCUUCUCCCGCACGACUCCUCCUUCACGGUGCCGCUUCACUCUCAUUUAUCUCUCUCAACUGUUGCCCUUCUUUUCUUCUAUUUUUGUUUCUUCCGAAGUCGUUCAUCCCCUCCAUCGAAACAAAUUCUGUUCAGCCCCUGCCACACGCCCAUUUCCCCAUUGAUUUCUCUCGGCCACUUGCCGAAGUCAACUCCACCAUCCCACCUUCAUCAGUUCUUCUCCAAUUUCAUGCCAGCGAAGACCUUCACCUCUUGUUCUUCGGUCAAUCUUCAACCGAAGUCUUCAAGCGACGCCACCUGGUUGACUCCGCAAGCUGCGCGCCUGCCCCCACCUUCUUCGUGUCCUUACUUGGACGGCACGAGGUCAAAGCUUUCAACCGAAGGCCCAUCAUAGAAUCAUCUCCUGCAACAACGAUUGGACGCCAGUUGCCCGUUCUCUCCCGUGCCAGCUCGCGACUGCUUCAUCCAUCUUGCAGCGUGAAAGUCCACCGAAGUUGCUGCCACGAGUCCGACACCGCAGCUACUUCUCAUACGCUAGUCCCCUCCGAUUGAAGCCGCGGCCCGCGAAUUCUUCAGCCCGUUCGUCUCAUUCAACGGGCGCCAGUCCACGGCUUCUCCCUUUCAACAGCAAUUCGGUCCAGCAUCUCCAGCGAAGCCCAGCCCAAUUCGUGAAACUCAGCUCUUGAAGCCCAGCCACAGCAGGCCCAAUUUAGUAGUCCAGUCCAACUUUGAAGCCCAACAAGUUGUCUUCUUCAGCAGUUUUCAGCCCAUCCUUAGUUAAUUGAAGCCCAAGCUUAGGCCCAAGUUCAGUUAGUUCUAGCCCAGUUGAAGUUCAGCCAUUUUGGGCCCGUGAAGAAAGCCCAAGCCCGCGACCAGCAUCCCUGCAAAAGCCCAAGACCGAAACUCAGCCUUGCUGAGUUGUGUUGGCCCGUUUUAGGCCCGGUCUGAGAGUUCGCCGACACCGCCGAAAAUUAAGAUUUCGGCCGCC